GUCGCCGCAACUACCGCCGCCUCCAGCUCGAUCGGGCUUCGCCUCUGUCAUUUCCAGAUCCGCCUCCGCCUUCAUCGCUGCCAGAUCCGCCUCAAAGGCAUUCCACCAAUGGAUAAUAGAACCAAACCCAGUGCAGAUGCGGAAGAUCCUCCUCAAAAUCAAUCGGAUAUCCCACAACCAAAAAUGUCUUUGUGGCUAACCAAACUAACAUCGGGGUACAGAAGGAUGUCUUUAGUCUCAGAGCACCCUAUACACAUGACCUCAUACGAAAGGAUGGAAAAAUGCUAUCUCAGUUCUUUUGUGUGUCCAAAGGUAAAAUUAUGAACCGAAGUUCUACCAACCAGCCAGAAUGUGACUUAGGAUGAUGCAGUAUUGCAUCUACACAACAUUAUAGAUGGUUCUGAAGUCUCUGUAAAUAGUUUUUUAAAAUGGUUUGGAACAAAUAGUCUUUUUUUUUUUUGGUUAAGUAAAUGAAUAGGCUCUUCAUCCUGACAGAAUGAUAUUUAGGUUGCAUAUUUUCUAAUGCUCUUUGAUUAUGAUUUAUUGUUCAUUUGGAUGUCACAAUACAAUAUUCCUGAAAUGGGAAGACAUGAAAUCCUAUGUUUCUAAUAGGGGGUUUUAAGGAUUAAAAUUGUUGUUGGCAUUGUUUCAAGAAUCUAUUUCCGAUUGAAGUUAGGAGGGUAACUGAGAUUAGAGUAGUUUAUCUGAAGGUCCUCCUUUGCCUCGUCUGCAAGAUGAGCUCUGAUUCCUUUUCUUUCUUCAUUUUAUUUUUCUCUAGUUCUGUGCUUUGUUGAGCUAUUUUGCCUGUUUUCUUUGAGGUUGGUGAACGGCCUACAAUUCCAUUCAAUGGAUUUGGUUUUUUCCUUUUUGUGGGUAACUGAAGCUGUGUGAUCUUUUGAUCCAGAUUGCUUGCUUAAGUGUUCCUGGCCUAUUCUGCGUUAUUACUUUGCUGUUUUAAAAUUUAAGAAAAAGAGAACGGUCCCACCUUGCAGGCUGUUUCACACACAAUGAACACUGAGCUCUCUGACUCUUGAAAUACCGUGUUAAUCCAGUUGUAUAUUCUUGAUUGUAUUAUGAAUUGUUAUGAAUUGCAUUUAAGUGAUUGGUGGGUCCAUUGUCGGCUUUGUGAAUUUAUUUGGGAUAAAUGAUUUGCUUUAGUGAUGUCUAAAUUUAAAAGGAGUAUUAAAAUUUUGUAGAAUUUAAAAACAAGUAUGAGAAAGCAAAGAAAAAUUAGGUCUCAAAUGUCGGGGGCCACAAUUGUCGAGCUCAUUGGUAGAACAGAUUUAGGAAGCUAUUAAGACAAUUAUGAAAUCCUUUUACAAUCAC